GUCUAUGGCCAUACCACUCUCAGUGUGCCUGAUCUUGUUUGAUCUCGGAAGCUAAGCAGGAUUGGGCCUGGUUAGUACUUGGAUGGGAGACCAUGGCAUGGCUUGGCUCUGACU
ensembl:rRNA 5S_rRNA 5S ribosomal RNA